rnacentral:rRNA from 1 species
CGACGUGGGUAACCUGCCUCAUACAGGGGGAUAGCAGCUGGAAACGGCUGAUAAAACCGCAUAAGCGCACAGCAUCGCAUGAUGCAGUGUGAAAAACUCCGGUGGUAUGAGAUGGACCCGCGUCUGAUUAGCUGGUUGGUGAGGUAACGGCCCACCAAGGCGGCGAUCAGUAGCCGGCCUGAGAGGGUGACCGGCCACAUUGGGACUGAGACACGGCCCAA